ensembl:lncRNA
UAAAAAUCCGAUUUCGAAAGCGAAACGAACCGCAGGUGAUUGAUCGCGGAAGUUUUGUCGACUUGAUGGGACUGGAGCUCGCUGUAACCCAAAGCCCGCCGCCAGCAGCCCAUGACGGGGAGGGAAACCGGAGCCGUGCGCGCCCGGGAAGUGGGGAUGUGGGAAGCCACGCGGCUCAGGCGCACUGGCGGUCCGGCGGCCGGGACUCCUACUUAACCCCCAAUCCGGCGUCCGGGGCGGCCGAGCGGCCGCGCAAAAUGGGAUUCAUGCGCUCGGACCGGUCGACGUCCGAUGAUAAAUGCACAUGAACAGGCCUGCUCUCUGCAUCUGCCUGCUGAUGAUCCUGCUCUUCGCAGCGGCCCGCAGCAAACGCCGCUGCAGAUACUCCGCGGUCCUGAUCGCCUACAGGAGCCUGAUCGUCGCUGAUCUGGAGCGUUUGAACCUGAUUGGUUCUUCGGACUCUUCCGGACUGAGCGACCACUGUCCCUCUGCAAAGGCGCACCAAAUCCUGCACUCCAUUUAUAGCAUGACUCAGCUGUUCAAGUGUGUAGGAGGGCAGCAGGGCAACGUGGAAAAGGUGGUGGACCAGAUGGAGCAGGUGAUCAUCCAGAACUGCAACAAAGCUCACAUGGAAAAAAAGCAGAAGAGUGGAAGAUGUAAAUCAGGGCAGAGGUUAAAGGGAACAGGAAGAAGUAACAGGAAGAAAAUGGAACUCGUCCAGAUGCUCAUAAACUGCUGGCAAAAGUUGCUUAGCGUGUACGCUCCCAGCACUGGUGCCAAACACAAACUGUCGACAGACUGAAAUCAAAAUGUUUUGUUUUGACACUCACUGCUGACAUUGGAAUCAGAUACAGUUCUCAUCAAAAUCAAUAGAUAAUAGCAUUUGAAUGCCUGCACAAUACUGACUUAUAUAAAAGCUGUAACUUAUGGUGCUUACAUGCAAUUAUUAAAUUAUCCUAAACCAUAUGGAGGCCACGUCUCUCGAGAUAACACACAAACUACAGAUCCCAUAAUGCAGUGCGCACUGUGGCGAUAAACCGAGUGCCAUACUUACUGAUGACUGAAACAUGAAAAAACAAUUUUGUGCGUUUUCUUUUUCAUCAUCCAUUAGUAAAUUUAGUGUGGGGGUGUUUUGUGGUAUAGAGAAUAUUUGAUGUUCCAUUUGAUUAAAUUCACACAGUUUGUAUUCUGUUCAUUCUAAAGAAUCUUUUGACUUGAUCUAUAUUAUUUAUUUUGUUUAUUCUUUAACUCUACUUCAAAAUGUUCCUCCAUGUUCCUGGGUGUUGAACGAUCCCUUGUCAGUGACUGAGUUGAACUAGGCUUUUCAAUUUAAUGAUAUAUUUAAAAUAACAUCAUGAUAUUUUAUGCUAUUUUGAUAUGAUAUUGUCUACAUCAUUUUUCUGGUUAUGUGUUUAGGAGGACCGAUGCUUUGGUUAAUGUUCCAGGUGUCACCUACAACAAAAAAACAAUGAAACACAUAAAAUGCUGUAUAUGUAAACACAUAUAUCAUAAAAUAGCAAUAUAAGUAGAAAUUAGUAAUACUACUAUUUAGAUUACCAUAUGCAUAUCCUGUUCCC